rnacentral:rRNA from 1 species
ACAAGCGGUGGAUGAUGUGGUUUAAUCGAUGCAACGCGAAAACCUUACCACCUUUGACAUGUACGGAAUCCUUUAGAGAUAGAGGAGUGCUCGAAAGAGAGCCGUAACACAGGUGCUGCAUGGCUGUCGUCAGCUCGUGUCGUGAGAUGUUGGGUUAAGUCCCGCAACGAGCGCAACCCUUGUCAUUAGUUGCUACAUUCAGUUGGGCACUCUAAUGAGACUGCCGGUGACAAGCCGGAGGAAGGUGGGGAUGACGUCAAGUCCUCAUGGCCCUUAUAGGUGGGGCUACACACGUCAUACAAUGGCUGGUACAAAGGGUUGCCAACCCGCGAGGGGGAGCCAAUCCAUCAAAGCCGGUCGUAGUCCGGAUCGCAGUCUGCAACUCGACUGCGUGAAGUCGGAAUCGCUAGUAAUCGUGGAUCAGCAUGUCACGGUGAAUACGUUCCCGGGUCUU